CUACGGGUUGCUCCAGUGGGGAAUAUUGGACAAUGGGGGAAACCCUGAUCCAGCAAUGCCGCGCGUGUGAAGAAGGCCUGCGGGUUGUAAAGCACUUUCGGUUGGGAGGACUGCUUCUAGCACUAAUAUUGUUGGAAGUUGACGUUACCUUCAGAAGAAGCACCGGGUAACUCCGUGCCAGCAGCCGCGGUAAUACGGAGGGUGCAAGCGUUAAUCGGAAUUACUGGGCGUAAAGCGCGCGUAGGCGGCUAGAUCAGUCGGGUGUGAAAGCCCCGGGCUUAACCUGGGAACUGCAUCCGAUACUGUCUAGCUUGAGUACAGGAGAGGUGAGUGGAAUUCCACAUGUAGCGGUGAAAUGCGUAGAUAUGUGGAGGAACACCAAUGGCGAAGGCAGCUCUCUGGCCUGAUACUGACGCUGAGGUGCGAAAGCGUGGGGAUCAAACAGGAUUAGAUACCCCUGUAGUC
rnacentral:rRNA from 1 species